CCUACGGGUGGCAGCAGUAAGGAAUAUUGCUCAAUGGCCGAAAGGCUGAAGCAGCAACGCCGCGUGGAGGAUGAAAUACUUUUGUAUGUAAACUCCUGUAAGGGGGGAAAUUGUACCCUCAGAGUAAGCACCGGCUAACUACGUGCCAGCAGCCGCGGUAAUACGUAGGGUGCUAGAGUUGUCCGGAUUUACUGGGUGUAAAGGGUGCUCAGGUGGGUUUGUAAGUCAGAGGUGAAAUCCCAAAGCUUAACUUUGGAGCUGCCUUUGAUACUGCAAGUCUUGAGUUUGAGAGAGGGCAAUGGAAUAUCUGGUGUAGCAGUGAAAUGCGUAGAUAUCAGAUAGAACACCAAUGGCGAAGGCAGUUGCCUGGCUCAAACUGACGCUAAAGCACGAAAGUGUGGGGAGCAAACAGGAUUAGAUACCCUGGUAGUC
rnacentral:rRNA from 1 species